rnacentral:sRNA from 1 species
GCUGGGAUUACAGGCAUGGGCCAGCGUGCCCAGCUGCAUACAGUAAAAUUUAACUAGUUGACUUAAGGAUUUGAUUUCCCGUUUCUUCUUUUUUUUUUUUUUAGAUGGAGUCUUGCCCUGUCACUCAGGUUGUAGUGAGCUGAGAUCAUACCACUGUGUUCUAGCCUGGGCCAUAGAGCAAGACUUUGUCUCAAAAAAAAAUAAAACAAAAAAUAUUUGGUUUAGUCUACAACUAUACCUUCCUUAUAACUUAACCAUAUGCAUUUAUUAGGAAAAGUUUAUGUAAUGCAGACAGGAAGCUCUAUGUUCCCUUCUCUGGGGCAUCCUGAACGUCUGAAGGGUCACAGAUGUCUGUGUAGAGAUCUGUAAGAUGUCAAAGAAUAAAGAUAAUUUAUAGACUAA